rnacentral:rRNA from 1 species
AUGGCCAUCAGGGAGGAGCUUCACGCUAAUGAUGAUGAUGAUGAGGCGAAGCAUGACACGGAAAGUCGUCACAAAGGAAAAAAGGCCAAGAAGACCGGAAAUGACUACCCUCCCGCGUGCUUCACUCUAAGUCAGGAGGAGAUCGAGCAGUUUUUCAUCUGCCUCGUAGGAGUAAAACUUCCUUAUGGUUACGCGGGGAAGAUAAGCAGAUACCUAGACCAAGCGAAGGAAAAGUUCAGCGGGAUGAAGUCUCACGACUGUCACGUGCUGAUGACACAGAUACUUCCAGUUGCAAUCUGUGGGAUCAUGGACGCGCACGUCUGUGAAAUGCUAUUUGGCCUAUGCAGCUUUCUCGACGUCAUCUCUCGAAAGUCGGUUGGCGUGAGGCAACUCAGAAGGCUAUAG